CCUACGGGAGGCAGCAGUGGGGAAUAUUGCACAAUGGGGGGAACCCUGAUGCAGCGACGCCGCGUGAGUGAAGAAGUAUCUCGGUACGUAAAGCUCUAUCAGCAGGGAAGAAAAUGACGGUACCUGACUAAGAAGCCCCGGCUAACUACGUGCCAGCAGCCGCGGUAAUACGUAGGGGGCAAGCGUUAUCCGGAUUUACUGGGUGUAAAGGGAGCGUAGACGGCCCUACAAGUCCGGAGUGAAAGCCCAAGGCUUAACCAUGGGACUGCUUUUGAAACUGUGGGGCUUGAGUGCAGGAGAGGCAAGCGGAAUUCCUAGUGUAGCGGUGAAAUGCGUAGAUAUUAGGAGGAACACCAGCGGCGAAGGCGGCCUGCUGGACUGUAACUGACGUUGAGGCUCGAAAGCGUGGGGAGCAAACAGGAUUAGAUACCCUUGUAGUC
rnacentral:rRNA from 1 species